CAGUCGCCGCGGGAAUACGUAGGUCCCGAGCGUUGUCCGGAUUUAUUGGGCGUAAAGCGAGCGCAGGCGGUUAGAUAAGUCUGAAGUUAAAGGCUGUGGCUUAACCAUAGUACGCUUUGGAAACUGUUUAACUUGAGUGCAAGAGGGGAGAGUGGAAUUCCAUGUGUAGCGGUGAAAUGCGUAGAUAUAUGGAGGAACACCGGUGGCGAAAGCGGCUCUCUGGCUUGUAACUGACGCUGAGGCUCGAAAGCGUGGGGAGCAAACAGGAUUAGAGACCCGUGUAGUCCCUGUCUCUUAUACA
rnacentral:rRNA from 1 species